UUUAACAGUUUAGAGUUACCUCCCAUUUCUACUUCCUUUUCCGCUAACUUACUAGAAGCGGUUGCAUCUGUAGGGCUUGAAAAUGCCAAAACAGAUUCAAGAAAUCAAAGAUUUUCUAUUGACAGCUAGGAGGAAAGAUGCCAAAUCUGUCAAGAUCAAGAAAAACAAAGAGAAUGUGAAGUUCAAGGUCAGAUGCAGCCGAUACCUGUACACCCUGGUCAUCCACGACAGAGAAAAGGCUGACAAGCUCCGACAGUCCCUCCCCAGGUAAGUCACUGCCCCCAGGUAAAGACAGGUGUCUG